rnacentral:antisense_RNA from 1 species
GAUUGGCUACCUCCUCAUAACCAUAAGAUAAUUAAAACUUGGCGGGGGGAGGGGCAGGGUUAAAAAAACUUUUUUUUAUCAGUCAGAGGAUAAUGCAAGUGUUUAACAGAUGCUUCACUAUUAAAAUAUUUCCCCCCCAAGUCUCAAAUAUUGAAGAAUCUCUAACCAGGGACACCAGUCCCUACGAAGACCUUGGGCGAUUUUGAAGUGCGGGCACCUCGAUUCCCCGAAUCUGUAGUGUGGCUGGUAUCGGUGUUCCCCUGGUUUAACUAGCCUGUUUGAAGGCACAGAUCAUUCAUGGGGAAGUAUAACCGAAACCAGUCCUCUCCACCCCCUGGGGAUCUUCACUUUCCCAGUCUACAACUGCCUGUGACUCCAGAAAGACAAACUGCAGAUUGGCCAAGCUGCCUGAAGACCCAGCCCGACAGCGAUGCCUGUCAGCCCGCGUCGCCCACCAGGGCAGCUGCUCUCCCGACUCGCAUGGGGGGCACCACCCCGCCUCGGUGCCCUAGAGCUGAGCGCAGCCGCGGCUCCACGGGGAUCGCCAGGGCCUCAGCCCUCGCGGCCGGCGGCGCGGGAGUGUUGCGGGGCAGGGACCAGAGCGCGAUCAGAGCGGCCAACCCCCGAUUUAGGUCGCCAGCUUUCCAGUCACUGCGAUGGCCACUGGGGCGCCCCUUCCAUCCUGGUUAAAUUCUCAUUGUGAUCCCCAGCCCUCUUCUCGGUUCCCCACACCCAGGAGGCCGGUUCUCCGCCGCUCAGGCUGGGAGAGGUCACCGCUCCGGGCAGGGUGGACCCCCAGCUCCGUCUCGGAGGACCUUUCGCCGGAGGCGAGCAGGAAGGGGUUAACCAUGAGCCUCCCACCCUCACCUCCCAGACCCUGGUGCCGGGCGAAGGCCUCCGCUUCCCUCCUGAGGUCUCAUUAGGAAACCCUCACCGCUAUUUUCAACAUUUCCUCAAUCAAGUGUCUUUAAAUAGAGCUGCACAAACAGAUUGGCGGCAAAAGCGUAGAUCUUGUCACGAUUGAGACCAAUCCAGUAUUUCAGCCUUGUUUGCUUUGCAAUUACGGGUUGGCUUGUGGCUACGGUGCCACCGGGGCAAAUCUGCAGCCGCUCGCUUUCUCCUCUGCACUCCGGGCGGGUGGAGGAAGCGACCCGCGGAGUCACUGCAGGGAGGAGAAGGGGACGCGCGCGGGGGGAGGCGGCGGAGGGCGGAGGAGCCUCGCUUGCACCCCAGGGCCGCGGGCACGCAGAGCUGUGUUGAAGGACAUACUUUUCAGGUUCCUGACAGUCACUGAGCUAUACGCAAUAAUAAAGUGC